UACAGACUGUUUGGAAAGACUGGCAAAAAAUGACUGAUGAAUAAAACUACAGCAACAACAAUUAAGCAACAACAGACCAGCUAACUCAGACGAACUGCCAAUAGCUGCUGGAAAUGUGGGACAGAGUGAAUAACUUCCAGCUGGAUCUUGUCUGGAGCUUUCUGGAGUUCAUUUGAACUACAUUCUGUACAGUCAACACUAUAAAUCAGGCUAUUGAGUCUUUGAUUGGUUCUACACCAAGAAAUGAGGAGACUUCUUUGUUCUGAUGUCUGCCAUCACUUCAGUCUACUGUCCUGAGAAUCACCAUGGCGAUGGUGUCAGAACAGGAACCAGAACAUACCUUAUUGAAAACCUAGACAUUCUCAUUCUUCCAAUCUGUCGUAGGGUUCAUGGAGGUCAUUGCCAACAUAAUACAGAUGCCCCUGUUCUAAGAUUCAUUCCUGCAAACCAAGACCAAACUGAUGGAUAAAGUAUCAGCUAAUUCAUUUGUGUCCCUUGCUUGAAGCUGCUAACCAUGGAAUUUUUUCACGAAGUCAUUGACUGUCAACGUGGCAUGAAGACGGAAUGCACUGAUCAGUCCUAGUUCCUCGCUGUUUCCUGGCAGCCAAUGGAAGAGCCGAGAAUACCAGUGCGAGUCAAGUGUUGAAUUUUCCACAAAAUAGCACUGAUUCCGAGCACUAUUUCUCUCUGGUCAGAAAAAAAAUCGGAGAAAUAACUAAUCAAUGAUAUAUUCCUAUCUGUUAGUAAUGAUUGAUCACAGACUGAAUGCUACCAUGGGUCUACUGGCAAGCUGGAAAGAUACAAAGAUAAAGAUAAUUUAUUAAACUUACUGAACAGGACACUGGAGAAUAUUCAGUUGUGAAAGUGAAAUAGGCAUUAAAAAGAUCAAGUACAAAUUUGAUGGUUCAUGAUUGACAUUAACACUUACUGAAUGUAACAUUAAAGGAUGUUCAAGUGUGACAGUGAAAUAGACAUUAAACAUUAAAGAUCAAGUUGUGGUUUAAGAUAAAAUACUGAAAAGAUCAACACCAGGAUGUUCACAAUAAUGUUGCAAUUUAUUUUAUGGCAUUUAGAACCUUAGCAUUAAUAUGAAUUUUGAUAUUGUACUUAACAACUUUCUCUAUCUUUGCUCCAUCACACUCACAUGAGACACUGCAAUUGACAAGAUCCUGGUUAGUUAGCUUUCAGUGUCUUCUAACAAUUUUGGCAUAAACACUGCUGUAACAUCAGUUAGUUGAUCAAUGGUCAAUGGCAAAAUAACACCAGUUGGCUCAUUUUCGACUUUGUAUGUACGCUCACAAUCAAGGCACUCAAAACCAAGGCAGUCUUUGUAUUAAAAUUUGAAGUGUU
rnacentral:lncRNA from 1 species